AAAUUUAAGUCAACUCAGCAUGAGUUGAAAUUGACUACAUUAGGUUUUUUUUCCAUCUAGAAACAACAGGAUGUUUAUUUCCCAUGCUGGCUCUGGAGGACUUACUGUCCUCCAGAAAAGGAAUAUUCUCCCUACAUCUUCUCUCUUGACUUUGGCAACAUCUCAUAAGCAGUCUGCUAACUGGAAGGGCAAAGCGCAGCUAUCUACAACACAUCCUUCCAGCACCCUUAGAUGUUAUAUAUAGGAAACUCCAGGAUCUCUUGACACCUACUCCACCCCUGUUCUUUCCCAUUAAGGUUUUUGGCAGCAAAGAAUUCUUUUUACUUUUUUUGUUUGAUUGUUUUUGUCUUGGUUCUUUUGAGACAGUCUCACUAUGUGGGUUGGACUGGCCUCAAACUCUGUCCUUCUGCCUCAGCCUCCCAAAUGCUGGGAUUAUAGGCACGCACCACCAUACCCAGCUAACUAUUUUUAUGUAUGUAAUUAACUCAACAUUGGGGAUAACAACUAAGAAAAAUAAUUGAUAGAUUUAUUCCAAAGCUAUUUUCUGAUUAUUGAUAUCUGUAAAAGCAAAAACUAUGAAGAAUGAAUGUUCAUACCUUUUAUUAAAAAGACAAAAAGCAGAAUAAUUAUUAGAAGUGACAGAAUUAUUAACACAGGUGAGUUGUCCAUAAAAAGAUGAAAAAGUGAGAUAGCAUCUCAUAUUUACAAGGCAUGACUGUUAUUCACAGGGACACUAGUUCAAAAGUGUGCUGAACCGUACCUCCGCAUCCAUAUUCUGUACAAAGGUAAUAUUAUCUGAAACUACAGAAAUGCUAGAAAUGAAAAUGGUUCAGGGUCAAUUCUUUAAUAAUCUGUUUCCAAAAAAUUAAAGUUUUCAUUUGAGCAAGAACGUACUUUUCACCUUUACAUAUGAAUUCAGAAGGAGGAAGUCUUUUUGUUUGAAAUACCAGGGAUUGAACCCAGGGCCUCCCACAUGCUAAGCUGUAAGUACUCUUCUACUCAGCUACAUUCCUAGUUUCAGAGUGAUGAAUGUUGUUUAUUAUGUUCAAAGAAGUAAUAUCCACUUUCUAAAAUCAUUUUUAAAUCUUUCUACUGAGUAAGUAUUCAAAAAACUGGUUUUUAAAAUAUUUCUGAAAUUUUUAAUAUAAAGAAACUAGUUAGUAUGAGGCUAUAGAGACAGUGGUAAAUAUUUACUACCACAACCCUUCCCAAAGUAACAUUCAGGGAACAGCAAAAUUGGAAUUUUACUUUUCUUGAAUGGAUUUUGCCUGUUAGCAUUUGAAAGCUAAUAGUAUUUUGUAGCCAAUUUUCUUUAGCUUCACCAAGUGGGUUUAUCUAUGUUUGCAUAGUUUUUAUUACAAAAACGUUUUUAAAUUUAACAAGUGCUUUAUAUGCUACUUAGAACUCUACCAGUUUAUUUAGAAGUCAGAUGAAAACAAGUACAGAUUUUUUUUGCUAGGCUUCAGUAAGAAUUUUAAAUACAUAAUGUAAGUUAUCAUACCUCAUUCUGCCCAAACAGAAUUGCUUGGUGUAACCAGUUUUCCAAAGACUGUCCAUCUUUUUCAUCUUCACUCCCUUUGAUAAUUGACUAAUAGAAGAUCAAAUGCAAAAUUAACUGUCAGAACUUGUCCCUAGGCAAGCAAUAAAAAUAUACGUUAAAAGAAUUUUAAGUGAGCC
rnacentral:lncRNA from 1 species